AGCGUACACGGUGGAUGCCCUGGCAGUCAGAGGCGAUGAAGGACGUGCUAAUCUGCGAUAAGCGUCGGUAAGGUGAUAUGAACCGUUAUAACCGGCGAUUUCCGAAUGGGGAAACCCAGUGUGAUUCGUCACACUAUCAUUAACUGAAUCCAUAGGUUAAUGAGGCGAACCGGGGGAACUGAAACAUCUAAGUACCCCGAGGAAAAGAAAUCAACCGAGAUUCCCCCAGUAGCGGCGAGCGAACGGGGAGCAGCCCAGAGCCUGAAUCAGUGUGUGUGUUAGUGGAAGCGUCUGGAAAGGCGCGCGAUACAGGGUGACAGCCCCGUACACAAAAAUGCACAUGCUGUGAGCUCGAUGAGUAGGGCGGGACACGUGGUAUCCUGUCUGAAUAUGGGGGGACCAUCCUCCAAGGCUAAAUACUCCUGACUGACCGAUAGUGAACCAGUACCGUGAGGGAAAGGCGAAAAGAACCCCGGCGAGGGGAGUGAAAAAGAACCUGAAACCGUGUACGUACAAGCAGUGGAAGCCUCUUUAUGGGGUGACUGCGUACCUUUUGUAUAAUGGGUCAGCGACUUAUAUUCUGUAGCAAGGUUAACCGAAUAGGGGAGCCGAAGGGAAACCGAGUCUUAACUGGGCGUUAAGUUGCAGGGUAUAGACCCGAAACCCGGUGAUCUAGCCAUGGGCAGGUUGAAGGUUGGGUAACACUAACUGGAGGACCGAACCGACUAAUGUUGAAAAAUUAGCGGAUGACUUGUGGCUGGGGGUGAAAGGCCAAUCAAACCGGGAGAUAGCUGGUUCUCCCCGAAAGCUAUUUAGGUAGCGCCUCGUGAAUUCAUCUCCGGGGGUAGAGCACUGUUUCGGCAAGGGGGUCAUCCCGACUUACCAACCCGAUGCAAACUGCGAAUACCGGAGAAUGUUAUCACGGGAGACACACGGCGGGUGCUAACGUCCGUCGUGAAGAGGGAAACAACCCAGACCGCCAGCUAAGGUCCCAAAGUCAUGGUUAAGUGGGAAACGAUGUGGGAAGGCCCAGACAGCCAGGAUGUUGGCUUAGAAGCAGCCAUCAUUUAAAGAAAGCGUAAUAGCUCACUGGUCGAGUCGGCCUGCGCGGAAGAUGUAACGGGGCUAAACCAUGCACCGAAGCUGCGGCAGCGACGCUUAUGCGUUGUUGGGUAGGGGAGCGUUCUGUAAGCCUGUGAAGGUGUGCUGUGAGGCAUGCUGGAGGUAUCAGAAGUGCGAAUGCUGACAUAAGUAACGAUAAAGCGGGUGAAAAGCCCGCUCGCCGGAAGACCAAGGGUUCCUGUCCAACGUUAAUCGGGGCAGGGUGAGUCGACCCCUAAGGCGAGGCCGAAAGGCGUAGUCGAUGGGAAACAGGUUAAUAUUCCUGUACUUGGUGUUACUGCGAAGGGGGGACGGAGAAGGCUAUGUUGGCCGGGCGACGGUUGUCCCGGUUUAAGCGUGUAGGCUGGUUUUCCAGGCAAAUCCGGAAAAUCAAGGCUGAGGCGUGAUGACGAGGCACUACGGUGCUGAAGCAACAAAUGCCCUGCUUCCAGGAAAAGCCUCUAAGCAUCAGGUAACAUCAAAUCGUACCCCAAACCGACACAGGUGGUCAGGUAGAGAAUACCAAGGCGCUUGAGAGAACUCGGGUGAAGGAACUAGGCAAAAUGGUGCCGUAACUUCGGGAGAAGGCACGCUGAUAUGUAGGUGAGGUCCCUCGCGGAUGGAGCUGAAAUCAGUCGAAGAUACCAGCUGGCUGCAACUGUUUAUUAAAAACACAGCACUGUGCAAACACGAAAGUGGACGUAUACGGUGUGACGCCUGCCCGGUGCCGGAAGGUUAAUUGAUGGGGUUAGCGGUAACGCGAAGCUCUUGAUCGAAGCCCCGGUAAACGGCGGCCGUAACUAUAACGGUCCUAAGGUAGCGAAAUUCCUUGUCGGGUAAGUUCCGACCUGCACGAAUGGCGUAAUGAUGGCCAGGCUGUCUCCACCCGAGACUCAGUGAAAUUGAACUCGCUGUGAAGAUGCAGUGUACCCGCGGCAAGACGGAAAGACCCCGUGAACCUUUACUAUAGCUUGACACUGAACAUUGAGCCUUGAUGUGUAGGAUAGGUGGGAGGCUUUGAAGUGUGGACGCCAGUCUGCAUGGAGCCGACCUUGAAAUACCACCCUUUAAUGUUUGAUGUUCUAACGUUGACCCGUAAUCCGGGUUGCGGACAGUGUCUGGUGGGUAGUUUGACUGGGGCGGUCUCCUCCUAAAGAGUAACGGAGGAGCACGAAGGUUGGCUAAUCCUGGUCGGACAUCAGGAGGUUAGUGCAAUGGCAUAAGCCAGCUUGACUGCGAGCGUGACGGCGCGAGCAGGUGCGAAAGCAGGUCAUAGUGAUCCGGUGGUUCUGAAUGGAAGGGCCAUCGCUCAACGGAUAAAAGGUACUCCGGGGAUAACAGGCUGAUACCGCCCAAGAGUUCAUAUCGACGGCGGUGUUUGGCACCUCGAUGUCGGCUCAUCACAUCCUGGGGCUGAAGUAGGUCCCAAGGGUAUGGCUGUUCGCCAUUUAAAGUGGUACGCGAGCUGGGUUUAGAACGUCGUGAGACAGUUCGGUCCCUAUCUGCCGUGGGCGCUGGAGAACUGAGGGGGGCUGCUCCUAGUACGAGAGGACCGGAGUGGACGCAUCACUGGUGUUCGGGUUGUCAUGCCAAUGGCACUGCCCGGUAGCUAAAUGCGGAAGAGAUAAGUGCUGAAAGCAUCUAAGCACGAAACUUGCCCCGAGAUGAGUUCU
rnacentral:rRNA from 1 species